CAGUCGCCGCGGGAAUACAGAGGGUGCGAGCGUUAAUCGGAUUUACUGGGCGUAAAGCGUGCGUAGGCGGAUUCUUAAGUCGGAUGUGAAAUCCCUGAGCUUAACUUAGGAAUUGCAUUCGAUACUGGGAAGCUAGAGUAUGGGAGAGGAUGGUAGAAUUCCAGGUGUAGCGGUGAAAUGCGUAGAGAUCUGGAGGAAUACCGAUGGCGAAGGCAGCCAUCUGGCCUAAUACUGACGCUGAGGUACGAAAGCAUGGGGAGCAAACAGGAUUAGAUACCCCGGUAGUCCCUGUCUCUUAUAC
rnacentral:rRNA from 1 species